GCGGCGAGUGAAGCGGCAAAAGCUCAAAUUUGAAAUCUGGCGCCUUCGGUGUCCGAGUUGUAAUUUGAAGAUUGUAACCUUGGGGUUGGCUCUUGUCUAUGUUUCUUGGAACAGGACGUCACAGAGGGUGAGAAUCCCGUGCGAUGAGAUGCCCAAUUCUAUGUAAGGUGCUUUCGAAGAGUCGAGUUGUUUGGGAAUGCAGCUCUAAGUGGGUGGUAAAUUCCAUCUAAAGCUAAAUAUUGGCGAGAGACCGAUAGCGAACAAGUACAGUGAUGGAAAGAUGAAAAGAACUUUGAAAAGAGAGUGAAAAAGUACGUGAAAUUGUUGAAAGGGAAGGGUUUGAGAUCAGACUCGAUAUUUUGUGAGCCUUGCCUUCGUGGCGGGGUGACCCGCAGCUUAUCGGGCCAGCAUCGGUUUGGGCGGUAGGAUAAUGGCGUAGGAAUGUGACUUUACUUCGGUGAAGUGUUAUAGCCUGCGUUGAUGCUGCCUGCCUAGACCGAGGACUGCGAUUUUAUCAAGGAUGCUGGCAUAAUGAUCCCAAACCGCCAGUCUU
rnacentral:rRNA from 1 species